GUCGUGAGGUAGAACUCCACGCAAUCCGGGAUGCUCACCUUCCUGCUAUGUGCUGAAAGUUGAUCAGAAGUUAGAAGAAAAACGUUCAUAUAACGAGUCGAGAUGGAUAAGCCGUAGUUGGCUUAAAUGCACUAGCGUCAUCAGAGAUUAUCAGCGAAUGGGAUUGUUGGAUGAGGAAGGUAGGCGAUCUCACAGUUUUAGAUUCUGUAGAGAAAUGGGGCAAAAAUGGAAUACAUCUUAAGGAUAAAACGAUAAAUUUUUAUCAAAAGAGAAAAAAGCGCCAGAAAAGCAUAACAUAUAUAGGCAACUAAGACUGCACGUGAACUAUAUGAAUUUUGGUGUAAAUACUGAGGAUUUGGAUGUAAUAAUUAAAACCAUAGGAGAAUUA